rnacentral:rRNA from 1 species
UACGUAGGCAGCGAGCGUUGUUCGGAUUUACUGGGCGUAAAGGGUGCGUAGGCGGUUGUUUAAGUUUGGUGUGAAAUCCCUCGGCCCAACCGAGGAACUGCGCCCAGUACUGCGUUGCUUGAGGAUCCAAGGGGUGCAUGGAAUUCCCGGUGGAGCGGUGAAAUGCGUUGAUAUCGGGAGGAACUCCGGCGGCGAAAGCGGUGCACUGGUGGAUUACUGACGCUGAGGUGCGAAAGCCAGGGGAGCAAACGGG